GUUAUUACAACUAUGUAUGCAAUUUCAGUUAAUUGUAUGCCAUUUGCAUUUUAUUGAGCAGCGUGGCUGGAGAAAACUGCGUGGCUGGAGGAGCAAUUGAAAAAUGGAUAAGAUAUUAAAACAAAAAAGUGAUCAAAUUAUGAAGCUGCAGGCCCAGUUAUUGGAACAACACAAAAUAUUAGAUAACAACAAAGCUAAGGAUGCUCAAAUUUUGAGUCUACAGGCUCAGCUAGGGGAAAAGAACAAGUUAGAACGGGACACUUCCAACGAGUUCAACAUAAAACAUGGAUUAG